GUAGGUGGCAAGCGUUGUCCGGAAUUAUUGGGCGUAAAGCGUGCGCAGGUGGGUUCUUUAAGUCUGAUGUGAAAGCCCCCGGGCUCAACCGGGGAGGGUCAUUGGAAACUGGGGAACUUGAGUGCAGGAGAGGAAAGUGGAAUUCCACGUGUAGCGGUGAAAUGCGUAGAUAUGUGGAGGAACACCAGUGGCGAAGGCGACUUUCUGGCCUGUAACUGACACUGAGGCGCGAAAGCGUGGGGAGCAAACAGGAUUAGAUACCCUGGUAGUCCACGCCGUAAACGAUGAGUGCUAAGUGUUGGGGGGUUUCCGCCCCUCAGUGCUGCAGCUAACGCAUUAAGCACUCCGCCUGGGGAGUACGGUCGCAAGACUG
rnacentral:rRNA from 1 species